rnacentral:rRNA from 1 species
GAACGCUGGCGGCGUGCCUAAUACAUGCAAGUCGAACGAGUUCUCGUUGAUGAUCGGUGCUUGCACCGAGAUUCAACAUGGAACGAGUGGCGGACGGGUGAGUAACACGUGGGUAACCUGCCCUUAAGUGGGGGAUAACAUUUGGAAGCAGAUGCUAAUACCGCAUAGAUCCAAGAACCGCAUGGUUCUUGGCUGAAAGAUGGCGUAAGCUAUCGCUUUUGGAUGGACCCGCGGCGUAUUAGCUAGUUGGUGAGGUAAUGGCUCGCCAAGGCGAUGAUACGUAGCCGAACUGAGAGGUUGAUCGGCCACAUUGGGACUGAGACACGGCCCAAACUCCUACGGGAGGCAGCAGUAGGGAAUCUUCCACAAUGGACGCAAGUCUGAUGGAGCAACGCCGCGUGAGUGAAGAAGGCUUUCGGGUCGUAAAACUCUGUUGUUGGAGAAGAAUGGUCGGCAGAGUAACUGUUGUCGGCGUGACGGUAUCCAACCAGAAAGCCACGGCUAACUACGUGCCAGCAGCCGCGGUAAUACGUAGGUGGCAAGCGUUAUCCGGAUUUAUUGGGCGUAAAGCGAGCGCAGGCGGUUUUUUAAGUCUGAUGUGAAAGCCCUCGGCUUAACCGAGGAAGCGCAUCGGAAACUGGGAAACUUGAGUGCAGAAGAGGACAGUGGAACUCCAUGUGUAGCGGUGAAAUGCGUAGAUAUAUGGAAGAACACCAGUGGCGAAGGCGGCUGUCUGGUCUGUAACUGACGCUGAGGCUCGAAAGCAUGGGUAGCGAACAGGAUUAGAUACCCUGGUAGUCCAUGCCGUAAACGAUGAAUGCUAGGUGUUGGAGGGUUUCCGCCCUUCAGUGCCGCAGCUAACGCAUUAAGCAUUCCGCCUGGGGAGUACGACCGCAAGGUUGAAACUCAAAGGAAUUGACGGGGGCCCGCACAAGCGGUGGAGCAUGUGGUUUAAUUCGAAGCAACGCGAAGAACCUUACCAGGUCUUGACAUCUUUUGAUCACCUGAGAGAUCAGGUUUCCCCUUCGGGGGCAAAAUGACAGGUGGUGCAUGGUUGUCGUCAGCUCGUGUCGUGAGAUGUUGGGUUAAGUCCCGCAACGAGCGCAACCCUUAUGACUAGUUGCCAGCAUUUAGUUGGGCACUCUAGUAAGACUGCCGGUGACAAACCGGAGGAAGGUGGGGAUGACGUCAAAUCAUCAUGCCCCUUAUGACCUGGGCUACACACGUGCUACAAUGGAUGGUACAACGAGUUGCGAGACCGCGAGGUCAAGCUAAUCUCUUAAAGCCAUUCUCAGUUCGGACUGUAGGCUGCAACUCGCCUACACGAAGUCGGAAUCGCUAGUAAUCGCGGAUCAGCACGCCGCGGUGAAUACGUUCCCGGGCCUUGUACACACCGCCCGUCACACCAUGAGAGUUUGUAACACCCGAAGCCGGUGGCGUAACCCUUUUAGGGAGCGAGCCGUCUAAGGUGGGACAAAUGAUUAGGGU